ensembl:misc_RNA
UUGAUAGCUCUGGAACCUGAGAUAAACUAAAGCUCUCCCACACUGUAUCACCAAUACGCCUCCAACCUUACCCUGGAGGCACAACCUCUGGGGAUUAGAUGUUUGGUUUCCCUGGUAUAUUCGAGGCCCGGCCUCU